UUGUCAACCCAGUUUCUGGGUUAUUUGUGUUGGGUUAAAAUUAUGGGUUAUUUUUUCAAAGAGUAACCCACUUUCUGGGUUAUAGGGCUAAUAUUUGACCCAUUGCCUGGGUUGUUUGGGUUUCUGGGUUAUUUUUCAAAGAGUAACCCAUGUUCUGGGUUAUAGGCUUGGCGCUCUCUCUCUCUCUACAAUGUAUUUUUCGGUUAGUUGUCUUGACAUCGGACCAGCCUAUUUUCUCCUCUAAACGACACUUUGGUUCCUGGGGCAGGGAGGCGAGUCUGAAAGAAGAAAAAUAGCCCUCAGCCUCAGCAGCAUCAGCCUCCUCCUCAACACACACAGGAGCAGCUAGACCCUGUUGGGGAGCAGCCUCCGUCCAUGCUGCUGGACCAGAGUCAGGAACAAACCUGAAAAACCUCUUCCGGGGCAGUGGACGUAGCCCUGGAAUAAGGAACCUGAAAUUCCCUCCUUCAAUUGAAGACCUCCAGGACUACCAGCGGUACCAUGAGGGCAGCUGCCCCCCUUCCAAGCAGCUGGAAAAUGCACAGUCCAAAGUGUCGAGGGUCAGGUCUUUUAUAUUUUACCUGGCAAAGGGACAGACUGUAUUGUUCAGAUUGAUGGCAUCCAAAAAUACACAGCCCACCUCCAGUCCCCAGGCAAGACCAUCACAACGGCACAUUUCUACUUGAGAACCAUACAGCAGUUCCUCAAAUACUUUCUGGAAACCCUGCCUGCCCAGUCUCACCUG